AUUACUCAGCAAUAAAAGAGAAUAAAAUCAUGGCAUUUGCAGGCCUCCUCUGCUACAUGCUCCUACCAUGUUGUACUGUGAUGCUAUAGGCCCAAAGCAAUAGUGAUCAUGGACCUAAACUGAAACUGUGAGCCAAAAUAAAUCUUUCAUCCUUAUAUUUGAUUAAAAUCAAGUAUUAUGUAAUAGUGACAGAAAGGUGCACAGAAGGUCAAUUGAAGACAGGGAGACGGCAGUUGUCUACAUGCCAGGAGAGGGUGCUUACCACAAGCAAAAUUGUCCAAUUCCUUGGUAUUGGACUUUCAGCCUUCAGACCCAUGAGAAGAUAAAUUUAUGUUGCUUAAGCCACUCUAUUUAUGGUAUUUUAUUAUGGCAGCCUGGGAACACUAACACAAUAGUAAAUAUAAAACUUAUGAAGGUAAAAACCAAAGUGAGUUAUUGGGUUAACAUUCUUCAUUACAUCAUCUAGGGGUAAUUAAAUACAGUGACUUAGUGAUAAAUUAAAAAUAUUCAGAAGUGUUUCCAAAAUUUUAGCUGAAAUGCCAGACUUUCUCUCUAGCAUAGAGAUACCAGCACAGUCUGAACCAAAGGUUUCCAUGAACAUACUUCUCACUGAUGCUAUUUUUUCUCAAAUAUUCACAAUAAAGUCUAGUACAUUAUUUUAGAUA